AUGGUAUAUAGUUAGAGGAUUUAAUUAUUUAUGUCCUUAAGCCCAAACAAUUGUAGGCUUAAGUUUUAUUUUUAUUAGAGCCCAAAUUAACUUCAGAUUUCUGUUCUGUUCUGCCACCAGCGUCUUUUCACCUCCCAAGAAAAUCUUUUAUCCCAAAUCCUAAUCUGCUAAAAUCUUUCUUCCCCUACCGAGGCAGCACCUUUUCUUCACUCCUUCACUCCUUAAAACUCUCUUUCAAGAACAUUCCCUGUCCUUUUCCAUCUCUAAUCUGCAAAAUCUGCCAUUAAAAUACUUUCAAUCUCAGGAGUUCAAGACACCCAUCAAGCUUAUCAAGCCAAAUAAGCAAUACUACAGCACAUUCAUCAAAACCAAACUGAACAAGGUUCGAGUAACCAAGGGCUUUAGAGCUACAAGAAGAGCAAGCACUGAAUCUCCACAUCGAGGUUGAGCGGCAGGUGGUGUCGUGCGAGGCUGAGGGAGGAUGUUGCUGUAGUUUCGUAUAAUAAUUUCCGCUGCCAUAAUAUUCACUUAGGUGGAUAUCUUUUGAGAAUGACUCUUUAAAUAUUCUUAGCCUAAUUAUUAUGAACUCUUUUGGCAAUCGCAUUACUAGCAAUUGAACCUCGCAUAUAUGUACGUCUAGUAUGAAGUGUUAUCUUGUUGUCUCAGACCUCCGAACUUUUGAUCCUGGCUGGGAAAAUUUCUAUCCUAAUUGUUGUACUUAUUAUCCUUCAAUUGUGGCACUCCUUUAUUAACAAUGUAUUACCCGAGUCUAA